rnacentral:rRNA from 1 species
UACGUAGGGUGCAAGCGUUGUCCGGAAUUAUUGGGCGUAAAGAGCUCGUAGGCGGUCUGUCGCGUCGGCUGUGAAAACCCGGGGCUCAACCCCGGGCCUGCAGUCGAUACGGGCAGACUAGAGUGUGGUAGGGGAGACUGGAAUCCUGGUGUAGCGGUGAAAUGCGCAGAUGUCAGGAGGAACACCGAUGGCGAAGGCAGGUCUCUGGGCCACUACUGACGCUGAGAAGCGAAAGCAUGGGGAGCGAACAGG